rnacentral:lncRNA from 1 species
GCAUCGAGUAUUUGUUUCAUCGAAAGUAGAGAGGGGUGAAAUAAUUUUCGACUACAAAUAUUUAUUUCUGCUGCUUGGUUUAUUGUAAUUAACUUCAAUUUGGUUGAAACUCAAACUUUUUAAAAUGUUGUAAUUGACUUUGGCCCAACCCCAAAUAAAAUAAUAAAAUAUUAACGCAUCUCUCACAUUUUUAGCUUUUAUAUCAUUCACUUUUUGCUGAACAAACAAUAGAAAUGGAAAAAGUUUAGUCCCAUAACUAUUAAACAAACAACAGAGGGAAAGUAAUUUUCACCUGAACCCUAGUUCAUUUGAAAAUUAACUUCAACUCGAGCUUUACCUUCAGUGAAACAAACAGGCGUUCUGUUUGAUAGUAAACCU